CCUACGUGAGGCAGCAGUGAGGAAUAUUGCUCAAUGGGCGUAAGCCUGAACCAGCCAAGUCGCGUGAGGGAUGAAGGUUCUAUGGUUCGUAAACCUCUUUUAUAAGGGAAUAAAGUGUGGGACGUGACGUAUUUUGUAUGUAACUUAUGAAUAAGGAUCGGCUAACUCCGUGCCAGCAGCCGCGGUAAUACGGAGGCUCCGAGCGUUAUCCGGUUUUAUUGGGUUUAAAGGGUGCGUAGGCGGCCUUUUAAGUCAGCUGUGAAAGUCUGUGGCUCAACCAUAGAAUUGCCGUUGAAACUGGUGGUCUUGAGUAUGUUUGAGGUAGGCGGAAUGCGUGGUGUAGCGGUGAAAUGCGUAGAUAUCACGCAGAACACCGAUUGCGAAGGCAGCCUGCUAAGCCAUGACUGACGCUGAUGCACGAAAGCGUGGGGAUCAAACAGGAUUAGAUACCCGUGUAGUC
rnacentral:rRNA from 1 species